rnacentral:other from 1 species
AGGGGCCUGCGAUGUUCGUGAUGGCGCGCUACAUUUUGGGCCAACACUCACAAAAUAGGGAUUCGGGUCUGGUAUCUUUGGUGAUAGGCCAGUGCCAAGACCAAGCAACACAGCAGGAUCCCACCCUGCACAGCAGGUCUCAAAAUUGACCGUCACACGGCAAAGCAGGUCGUCA